GCCGCCAUAGCUAAGUGGUUAUAGCGCCAGUUUAGUAAACUGGAGGCCCCGAGUUCGAGUCUCGGUGGUGGCUCUA
rnacentral:tRNA from 1 species